AUUUAUAAAGGAUCAUCCUUUUUUUAGAA
rnacentral:tRNA from 1 species